rnacentral:rRNA from 1 species
AUUGAACGCUGGCGGCAGGCCUAACACAUGCAAGUCGAGCGAGCGGCGGACGGGUGCGUACUGUAUGGGGACUGCCCGUUACCGGGGGAUCACUACUGGAAACGGUAUCUAAUACCGCAUACUAUCCGCUACCCCAUAUGAGAUUAGCUAGUUGGUGAGGUAAUGGCUCACCAAGGCGACGAUCCAUAGCUGGUCUGAGAGGAUGAUCAGCCACACUGGGACUGAGACACGGCCCAGACUCCUACGGAGGCAGCAGUGGGGAAUAUUGCACAAUGGGCGAAAGCCUGAUGCAGCCAGGCCGCGUGUAUGAAGAAGGCCAUAGGGUUGUAAAGUACUUUCAGUCGGGAGGCGUUACCGACAGAAGAAGCAACGGCUAACUACGUGCCAGCAGCCGCGGUAAUAC